UACGUAGGUGGCAAGCGUUGUCCGGAUUUACUGGGCGUAAAGCGCCCGCAGGCGGCCCGGCAAGUUUUAGGUGAAAUCUCCCGGCUUAACUGGGAGGGUGCCUGGAAAACUGCCGGGCUUGAGGCAGGGAGAGGGAUGUGGAAUUCCCGGUGUAGUGGUGAAAUGCGUAGAUAUCGGGAGGAACACCAGUGGCGAAGGCGACAUCCUGGACCUGUCCUGACGCUCAGGGGCGAAAGCGUGGGGAGCAAACCGG
rnacentral:rRNA from 1 species